UUGGCUGCUUCGACAUACGUUACCUUUGAAAUUAUACAGAAAUACAUUUAAGAAGGACAGAGACCACAAACAAAGGUAUGUCGCGAAUGCGUUCCUACAUUCGUAACCAGCCAAUGAGAUGCGAGCGUGGAGCGUCCCCUGCUUCGUACUGUUUUAGUUUAGUAGCCGACUAGCCGUGUCUACAUUAUAUUAUCAUAUUAUUAAAAAUUACAAUUUGUUUGAAGUGCGUAAGUGAUAACUUUGUGAUUUAUUUGUAUGUGGAGUAAUUUAAUUUGUGAUUUUUAUGUGAAACAUUAUUGUGACGGUAAUUAUUUUGGAAUCCAUUCAGGGAAGUAGAUUCGGUAGACGCAGAUGAAGCUUAAAAAGACACGAUUAAAUCCACAUUUAAAAUGUAAACUUUUUGUACUGACUAUUAAAUAUACCUAUAAAUUAUA